rnacentral:rRNA from 1 species
GACGAACGCUGGCGGCGUGCUUAACACAUGCAAGUCGAACGGUGAAGGGAUCAGCUUGCUGGUUCUGGAUGAGUGGCGAACGGGUGAGUAACACGUGAGUAACCUGCCCCCUUCUUCUGGAUAACCGCAUGAAAGUGUGGCUAAUACGGGAUAUUCUGGGUCUGUCGCAUGAUGGGUCUGGGAAAGAUAUUGUUUCGGUGGGGGAUGGGCUCGCGGCCUAUCAGCUUGUUGGUGGGGUGAUGGCCUACCAAGGCGGUGACGGGUAGCCGGCCUGAGAGGGUGGACGGUCACACUGGGACUGAGACACGGCCCAGACUGCUACGGGAGGCAGCAGUGGGGAAUAUGGCACAAUGGGCGCAAGCCUGAUGCAGCGACGCCGCGUGAGGGAUGGAGGCCUUCGGGUUGUAAACCUCUUUCGCCAGUGAAGCAGGCCUGCUCCUUGUGGGUGGGUUGACGGUAGCUGGAUAAGAAGCGCCGGCUAACUACGUG